GAUCCCAAUAGAAUGCCCGGUGUGCCCGUGUCCAAAGACUCCGCAUUGCUCAGAGGUCAGAUCUCCCGAAUCAAUGAGCAGAAUCCAUGCAGCCAGAGCCCUGCUCCCAGCAGACAUUGCUGCAGAAGUUGCUGACCGCCAGUCGGACCGGUGAAUCGCACCCCUACUCGUGGACUUUUGGAUAGCAGGAAAGGUAUCCCACCUCCUCCCCAUGGGGAAGCUGCCUCAGCCAGCUGGUCCGCUUUCUCCCGAGGCACAAACCACAAAGCUCUGGAAAGCUGAGUCCUCCAGUCCCUGUUCAGUGUUUCUGCAUCCUGUCUCUGGUCAGGGAGACAUUGCUGCUGUGACCUGCCUCAGUGCUGAAGUUGCCCAGGGACCCACCUUUUCUGGAUUUUUGUGGACUCAGACCUUUAUCAUCAGAAGGAUUCCCUGGAUUUGCAGGGCAGAGGACGUGCAGGGUGUUAAAGACAGGCUCCUCAGUGAUCUCUCUCCAUCACUGUCUCCUCCACACACUCGCUGGCUAGGGUGGGUGCUGUGUGUGAGGUCCUGGGCUGGGGACUGUAGUAACUUGUUUCUAAAACGCUAAGUGUGUUUACAAAGGCAGAAAUCGCCUGGCGAGGGUGGAGAGGGGCCAGGAACCCUGUCAUUCCCUUGAUGGAAGAAGGUCUAGAGGCAAUGCUUUCCCCCUUGGGUGACAUCAAAGCAUGUCCCCAAGGGGCCAGCAGUGUGUGGCUUGGCUCCCUGCCCCAUGCCUGAGCUGCUCACAGAGAUUCCAUAGGCACAGCUGCUUCCCGGACAAAGGGAUGAUGUCCCACUGGGGACAGGGUGCUGGGGACUGUAGGCCUCGGGCCUGGUGGAGGAGCCAUGCCAGCUUCUCCGGGACAUACCCCAUGUGGGUGUUGCUAGAUCUUGAAUCCCAGCACAGUUUUUGGAAUGCAAAAUAUUUGUACAACAAAUUAAUUGUUAAUUAACAAAAUGAUAAGCAGAAAUCCACUUAAAAUGUGUGGGGCUGCCUCACUAACCCCGGAACACUAGACCUUGAGGAGCACUUGGAGCUGGGAAGUGGGAGGGGCUUCACCUCCAAGGGGAUUUAAGGGCUCCCCAAAACUCACUGAGCAAGAUUAACUCUCAUCCUUUAAUGUAAUACUUGAAGAAAAUCAAAGUUAAUGUGAAGAAUUCAUGACAACAAAAUAUCCAACUUGGACGUAAAGAUGGAAUUAGCAAUGGCACCAUCCAUCCUGGGCCCUACUGAAUCAGGGCGAAAAAAACCAAACCAACCCUAAAAUCAGUAAUUCUGACGCUCCCUCCACCCCAAGUUUUCACUCAAGGAAAAAUGGCUUCCACCCCAUCCUGGCCUUUAAGGCAGAUAAGAAAGGAUGCCCCCCAAAAACAUUGCUUAACACAGUGAGUGGCAGCAGUGGGGACUUUCUGACCCCAAAAGGUGGUGCAGAGGGACCUCUGGGUUUCCGUAAAUGCAAGAAUAGAUGGGGGCAGUGGCGUUAGGGGUGCUGGGUGCACACUUGUGAACUUUAGAGUUUCAGGUCACAGAAGGCAGAUCACAGAAGUAGAGGGAGGCCAAUAGAGCGGGAGCCCAGCCUGGGGACAGUCCUGACUUUAUGCAGGACAGCACGGGCCACCACUGGAAGGCAACCAAAGAGGAGCCGGGGCGGGGGGGGGGGCUGUUGCUGCUCCCAGCUCCCA